GACGAACGCUGGCGGCGUGCUUAACACAUGCAAGUCGAACGAUGAAGAAGAGAAACGCGAACUUCGGUUCAAAUUUCACUUCGGAUUAGUGGCAGACGGGUGAGUAACGCGUGAGCAACCUACCUCUUACAAAGGGAUAGCCUCGGGAAACCGUGAUUAAUACCAUAUGACACAUUCAUAAGGCAUCUUAAGAAUGUUAAAGCUACGGCGGUAAGAGAUGGGCUCGCGUCCCAUUAGCUAGUUGGUGAGGUAACGGCCCACCAAGGCGACGAUGGGUAACCGGCCUGAGAGGGUGAACGGUCACAUUGGAACUGAGACACGGUCCAAACUCCUACGGGAGGCAGCAGUGGGGAAUAUUGCACAAUGGAGGGAACUCUGAUGCAGCGACGCCGCGUGAGCGAUGAAGGAAUUCGUUUCGUAAAGCUCUGUUCUAUGGGAAGAAAAGGACUGUACCUUAGGAGAAAGCCCCGGCUAAAUACGUG
rnacentral:rRNA from 1 species